rnacentral:tRNA from 1 species
GGUGGUUCAGUGGUAAAGCGCUUGCCUUGCAUGCAUGAGGCCCUGGGUUCAAUUCCUCAGCACCA